rnacentral:rRNA from 1 species
GAUGAACGCUGGCGGCGUGCCUAAUACAUGCAAGUCGAGCGAACAGACGAGGAGCUUGCUCCUCUGACGUUAGCGGCGGACGGGUGAGUAACACGUGGAUAACCUACCUAUAAGACUGGGAUAACUUCGGGAAACCGGAGAUAAUACCGGAUAAUAUAUUGAACCGCAUGGUUCAAUAGUGAAAGACGGUUUUGCUGUCACUUAUAGAUGGAUCCGCGCCGCAUUAGCUAGUUGGUAAGGUAACGGCUUACCAAGGCAACGAUGCGUAGCCGAGCGGAGAGGGUGAUCGGCCACACUGGAACUGAGACACGGUCCAGACUCCUACGGGAGGCAGCAGUAGGGAAUCGGCCGCAAUGGGCGAAAGCUUGACGGAGCAACGCCGCGUGAGUGAUGAAGGUCUUCGGAUCGUAAAACUCUGUUAUUAGGGAAGAACAAAUGUGUAAGUAACUAUGCACGGCUUGACGGUACCUAAUCAGAAAGCCACGGCUAACUACGUG